GAUGAACGCUGGCGGCGUGCCUAAUACAUGCAAGUCGAGCGAACAGACGAGGAGCUUGCUCCUCUGACGUUAGCGGCGGACGGGUGAGUAACACGUGGAUAACCUACCUAUAAGACUGGGAUAACUUCGGGAAACCGGAGCUAAUACCGGAUAAUAUAUUGAACCACAUGGUUCAAUAGUGAAAGACGGUUUUGCUGUCACUUAUAGCUGGAUCCGCGCCGCAUUAGCUAGUUGGUAAGGUAACGGCUUACCAAGGCAACGAUGCGUAGCCGACCUGAGAGGGUGAUCGGCCACACUGGAACUGAGACACGGUCCAGACUCCUACGGGAGGCAGCAGUAGGGAAUCGUCCGCAAUGGGCGAAAGCCUGACGGAGCAACGCCGCGUGAGUGAUGAAGGUCUUCGGAUCGUAAAACUCUGUUAUUAGGGAAGAACAAAUGUGUAAGUAACUAUGCACGUCUUGACGGUACCUAAUCAGAAAGCCACGGCUAACUACGUG
rnacentral:rRNA from 1 species